rnacentral:pre_miRNA from 1 species
GAAAACUUGGAAUAUCGUGGAAUCGAGAAAUGGAUGUCCGAGAUUCGUCCACAUCACCAUGAGUUAAAAUUUGACUCGCACGUCUACGUCAUCAUGAGUUAAAACUUGACUCACAGUAAAAUUUUACUAGGAAUCAAAUUUUAAUUCAUGGUGACGUGGAUGAAUCUCGGACGUCCAUUUUUCAAUCCAACAAUAGUUUCCAAGUUUCC